CCUUAACCUGUAAAAAACCCCCCUGGUUUUCGGUUGGCGCCGGGUUUUUAGGGGGGAUUAUAGGGUUUCAGCCAGGGGAAUUUGGGGGCAAAAAAAGGUUGUGGAGCCCCUAAAUUUUUUGGGGCCCCCGCGCGGCACCCAGACAGGACCCGAGGGUUAUUUUCCUUGUCCGGAAGGUCUGGGUAAUCUUGUGAAACUUUGUCGUGCUGGGGAUAGAGCAUUGCAAUUAUUGCUCUUCAACGAGGAAUUCCUAGUAAGCGUGAGUCAUCAGCUCGCGUUGAUUACGUCCCCUGCCC
rnacentral:rRNA from 1 species